CCCUUCUUUUUCACAACCCACUAUGAAUAUUCACCACACAAAGAUCCCCAUAUACUUCAUCACCCCCUAUCAUCCGGCUAAAGAAUAAAAGCUAAAUAGGCUCAAAGUGGAUAACAAAGGAUAAUUUUUUUCAAGGACAGUGUUUGGGAAAAAUUGUGGCUAACAAAAGAUGGCCUAAAAUCAUCUCAUAAUCCUGGGCACAACAGCAACCUCGACACAGAAACCAUGGCAAGUUCUAGAAGAUCACCACAUGCAAUGACAAAACUCACAACAAAGAAUAAACUGUGUAUGAUAAACAGUUAUGGCUCAAAUCCUCACAGGUUUAUUCAACGUCCAAAAGUCAAGGUUAAAAUCACUCUAGAAUUAUGCAAAUUAGUUCCAAUUAUACUUAAAUCAUCAAAGAAAAUCAAAUUCCAAUUUUUUUUUCAUAGAAAUCAUCAUUGGCAUCUCACCAGAAAUCUAAUGGAGCAAUAAUCAUCUAAAAAACAAAGCAAUCACACACCACCAACCAAGCAGAAUAAAACAAUAAAGCUAACAAAAAGAUAAAAGUGAUAUACAUAUCUACUCUCACCCCCCUCCCCCAAACUUAUUACAGAACAUAAGUUCGAAAAUAAGUUUGGAGGGAUGAUGAUAUGUGUGUCACUACUCACAGAAAAACAUGCUCCAUGGUGGUGGUAUGAACAAGGCGCGAGUUCCCGCAUCUUCCAAGCUCAACACUGCACUAAAACCCCAAACAAAACAAAAAAAACAAAGAAACAAAAAGAAACUAAAAGAAAGAAAAACAAAACAAAGAAAACAGUUGGGUUACCUCCCAACAAGUGCUUAAUUUAACGUCUAGAGCUCGACGAUACCUCAUGGCUCAUGGAGGUCGGAAACAACACUCUAACCAUUGGAAAGCUUUUCUACUCUUGGGUGCCCUCUCCACAAAAACACUUCUCUUGGCCCGGACAUCCUCCACAAGCAUUGCCCCCUUCUCAUUCUUGUUCCGAAAAAUUCGAAAUUUCACUUUCUUCUUCUUGGGGGUAUGGGUUUUCACCCCAUCAUGCUCCAAAAAUAAACACAUCUCAAAAUUCAGAACUUAUUUUGGCUUUGGAGUUUUUUUCUUGGCUUCAUACUUGGGCAGCUCAUUCUUCUCAACCUCUUCAUCUUCUGAAUUUGCUAGAAAACUGUCAGCCAAAUUAAUCACUUCAUUCUGGGGAACUUCCUUUGGUGGAGGUUUCUUGAAAAUCACAGUUUCCCCAUAGGCUCCCAAUGUCAUUGUCCCCCUUUGCAUAUCUAGCUUUGCUCCACAUGUGGCAAGGAAAGGUCUCCCUAACAGCAAAGGCAUGUUUGGAUCCUCCGGAAUAUCCAACACUACAAAGUCGACUGGGAAGAAAAAAUCACUCACCUUCACAAGCACAUCUUCCGCAACUCCUAGAGGUUUAGAGCAAGACUUAUCAAUAAGCUGAAUUGUCUUGUUAGUUGGCUUCAAAUCCCCUAGCUGCAACUUCCUAUAAACUUUGAGAGGCAUGACAUUUAUGCUUGCUCCGGUGUCACACAUCACUUACUCAAACAGUGACUUUCCAAUCUUCACAGGAAUAUUGAAGCUGCCUGGAUCUUCUCUCUUUGGAGCCAACUGAUACUCCUUCACUGCGAGCACCUCCUCAAAUUCAUUGAAUGCACUCUUCUUUUCCAUCACAGCCUUCACAAUUUGCACCUCAUUUGGCUUGUUUCGCAAGAUCUCCACGGAAGGAAUAUUCACAGCCAACUUCUUAAAUGUCUCCAAAAACUUCUCAUCCAUCUUCGCCUCGCCAAGCGAAGAGGGAAAGGUGCUACAGGCUUGUACUCUGGCCUGGGAAACGUAGGAGUAGGAAUAGGCUUCUUAACAGCAGAGGUAUUCGAAUCCUUCUUAGGGGGAGGCGUCUGUUUCGCUGCAAGCUCCUCCAAAUCAUCAUCGUCGUCCGCUCCACCAGAGAAAUGACUAUCACCAGAGGAAUGGUGAUCUCGCUGCCCACCAGAGAAAUGGCUAUCACCAGAGGAAUGGUGAUCCCGCUGCUCUGUAUGAUUCCGCUGCUCUUCAUCCUCAACUGAAUUAUCAACCACCCGGAUGGAAUGACAUUGCUGAUUUUGCUGAGGUUGUUGAUGUUGGCUCUUCGGAUUGAACUGAGUGUUGCUAGGAAAUUGGCCUGGCUUGUUCUGCGCAGCUGCUUGGUUGGCCAUCUGACCAACUUGAGUCUCCAACAUCUGCACUUGCUUGGACAGUGCUGAAAAAUUAUUUCCAAUUUGACCCACUUGAGACUCCAAAUUAGUCAUCCUUGAACUAACAGUUGUCUCCAUUCCAGUCAUCUUCAUUAACAUCUGCUGCAUCAUAUCCUCCAUUGAUACCUUCUUCGGCUCAUUUAUAACUCCUCCGCUAGACACAGAAAAUCCAGGUGGAGGCUGCAAAGCAUUGUUUGGAUUAUCGUAAGAAAGGUUAGGAUGUGGUCGUGCUCCUGGCUGAAACUGCUGCUGACCCUGCUGAAAUUGUUGACCUCUGCCAUACAUUCCUGGCUGUCCUCGCUGGAAAUUCCCAUAAUUUCUGCCAUUCACAUAAUUGACAUCUUCCAUGCCUGACGGGUCUAUCACAGCUUGCUCAUGACGUCCAACAUUCAACUCACCAAUUUUUGUAGUCAGCUCUGCCAGCUGUGUAGCCAUCGCUGCCUGUUGAGUAACCAUUGCUGCCAUAGGAUCAGAACUUGACGCAGCUGCAACCUUCUUCAAUUGUACUCGCUCAGAUGGCCAUUGGUAGCUUGUAGAAGCCAUGCUAUCAAUAAUGCUCCAUGCUUCAGAACUGCUUUUCUGCAAUAGAGAGCCACCUGCAGCUGUAUCCAUGUGCAUCCUUGUACGCUCCCGCAGGCAUUGUAGAACAUGAUCACGAGCGUGCCUUCAUCAAAUCCAUGGCUUGGGCACUUUCUGAGCUUCUCCUGAUACCGCUCCCAAGUCUCCGCUAGCUUUUCUCCAUCGUACUGUUGAAACUGCACGAUGUCCAUCUUCAACUUCAACGUAAGGCCAGGCGGAUGAAACUUGCGUAGGAAUGCAUGAGCCAAAUCCUCCCACACGAUAUUCUCUCCCAGCUGCAGCGUAUGAUACCACGACUUCGCCUUAUCCCGCAGUGAGAAGGGAAAAAGACGAAGACGGAUAAUGUCAUCAGGGACACCAUUCAUCUUCACCGUGCUACACAGCUCCAGGAAAUGCGCCAGGUGCGCAUUAGGGUCUUCAAUCGCUUGUCCACCAUAUUGGCUCUAUUGGACCAUCGUGAUCAAACCCGUUUUCAGCUCAAAGUUGUUAACGUUCACUCGUGGGGGCUCCUGGUACACAUACUGUGGUAUGAACGCUUCAUUGAUGGCUGGUUGUUUCUGAGCCUCUCUUGUCUCAUGUGCAUCAAGCAGCUUCUUCAACUGCUCUUGCAAAGCUCGAAUUUGGAUUUGCUCUGGAGUAGCCAUCGUUUCUGUCUCAACUUGAUCGUUCAGCUUCUUUAGGUUGCGCAAGGUCUUAUUGAUUUCAGGGUCAAACUCAAAUAGAGGAUUUCCGUGAGAUCGUGUGUUCAUAUGCAACCUACAGAAACACAACUUUUAAAAGUUAGAAAAGAAAAAUAAAAACAAAUACUCCCUCCGUCCACAAUUUAAAGCCCCACUUUGAUGUGGGCACGGAGACUAAGAAAGCUGAAAAUGGUGAUGUGGAUGAAAUAAAAGGGUAGUUGACUAAAGUGAUAAAGUAGUUGACUAAAGUGUUAAAGGUGUUGUGUUGUGGGUCCACUAGUGAUAAAGUGUAAUAAAUAUAGAAUAUAAAAAUAAUAAAGGUGUUGUAAGGUGGGUCCAUUAGUGGCAAAUGGUAGUAAUUUUAAAUAAAGAGGGAGGGUAAAAAGGUACAAAAAGCAGAAUAUGGCUUUAAAUUGUGGACAAAAAUUUAAGGGGAAGUAGGGCUUUAAAUUGUGGACGGAGGGAGUAAAACCUACAGUACUUUAAAGUCCUAUCGAAAAUAUUAAAGCGAAUUCUUAACAGUCCCCGGCAACGGCGCCAAAAAGUUGAUCACUAAUUUCUUAGCAACAAAUUACUGCAACUAACACGGUGCAAUUGUAGCACAAAUUGGUAACCAAGUAUCGUAUCCACAGGGACUGACACAACGAAACUACUUUAGCUAUUUCCUAAACAGACUCUCACAGUAUGCAGGUAAACGAAAGCAGGAAGGUUUAAUUAACUUAUACUAAAACGCAAUUAACAAUAAUUAAAAACACGUAGGAAAAUUCGAAUAUUAAAAGACAACUGAUCCUAGGGUAGUAAAUUCAUUAACUAAAUCUAUGCAAUUAAUCUAUUAAUCCUAUGUACCAGUUUAAUCCAGCUAUGAUGAGAGAUCACUUAAUUAAUCAAUUACUCUCGCUAGAGCAGCAACGAUCGUAGAUUAGUAAAUUAUCUUUCUCCGUUAGGUCUCAAGAGAAUCUACUAACUCCCAAUAGCUCCUAAGAAUAGCUCCCUAUUAUCCACCUAUCUCCGCUAGGUCUCAAGGUUAAAAUCAUAUCAUACAUUCCUGAAUCCGCUAAAUAGUUAUCUCCGCUAUGUCUCAAACCGAAUAGCUAAACAUGCAAACUAUUGAUCAGAUAAUUCACAAGAAAUUAAGCACCAGGAAUUAUGAAUCAUAAACUGGAAGGCAUAAAGGUAUUAACCAAUAAAUCACAUAAAUUCAAUCAACUAUUUACAAACCCUAGAAUCAGCUAAAGGAAACUAGCCAGACAUACUAAAAUAAAACAUAAACAUAAUUAAAAAGUACAUCAAUUGAAAAAACAGAAUUAUAUAAAAACUGAAUAAGAACGAAUGUAGCAGCUUGAAUCUUCAAUCUUGUGGAAAUCCAAUCCAAGCAGUAAAAACUGGAAAGCAAUAAAUUCUAAAGCUAUGAAAUUGAAAAAUAAAGUUUGGGAACUGAAAAAGGAACCCUAAAUAGGUCAAAAGAAGACCUAUUUAUAGUAGCUCAGGGUAAAAUACAGUGUUUGAAACCCAGAAGAACUCCAAAAACGCGCAAAACUGAAAAAUCCGGGUAGCCGGCGACCCAUCCGGCGGUCAUUGGCUCAAGCACAAAAAUCCUUCAUCACACGGCGAUCGCCGCGUCUUUUCCAACGUUCCAGAAGUCCGGCGACCCAGGCGGCGGUCGCCGGUCAGGUCGCCGGAAAUCCUUCUUCGGGCGGUGGUCAACGGUGUUUGACCGCCGAGUUCUGACUGCUGCGCGCGAUGUUUUUGUUUCGGCCAUAACUUUCUCGUCCGAACUCGGAUUUGCGAUCCGUUUGCGCUCACGAACUCCUAUCGAGACGAUCUACAACUUGUAUUUCAGCACAGUUUUCCAAAUUCGAACUCAAUAAACCUGAAAUUUCCUUCAAAGUUCGAGUAAGAAUCGUGUUUCACAAGAUAAAGCAAAUUAAGCACAAAACAAUCAUCCAACACUCAAUUUCCUAUAAAAUUGACAUCAUAUGAACACUAAAAACCAUGGAAACAUGAGUGUUAUCAACUCCCCCAAACUUAAUCCAUUGUUCGUCCUCGAAUAAUGAGAAGAACACAAUCAAUAACACGAAUGGGUAAGAAAUCUAGCUCAUCGAUGCCUCCGAAAAAUAAAGAAUGAUAGAAUUCUCAAAUCCUCAAUAAUUAAGCACAAAAUUCACCAAUAAACACAACCUAUAGCAAAAUCAACCUUGACAUUCCAAACAAUUGAAUCUCACAAGGUAUGUGUAUCACUCAACUCUCAAUUUGAUGGAAUAGGACGUGUAUGCUCUCAUCGAAUUCAAUGCAAUGCAGAUCACUUACCAUAGGCUUGCCAAUCGUCUACAAUCUCCAUCGCUAAAAGUGUGCCAAGACUAAGAUCAAAUAGGUCUUUAUUUUUGGGUUAUAAUGUAGGGACAUUGGUUAAGGUAGGGAAAUAUAGGCUAAGUGACUCAAAUAGAUCAAGAACACCAACCUUAUAGCUUCACUAAUCAAGCAUGGAAUAAAUUCCAUCUUCCACCCAACUAUAUCACCAUAAUCAACACAACUCAAGGGAUUUAAUCAUCACAAAACAGAACUAAACACUCUUUUAUGCUCUCCAUUUAUUUCCAACACACAAAGUCGAUUUUCAAACAAAUAUCUCAAUAUACACUCGACUUUAUACUUUUUUUUCUUCUUUUCUUUUUCUUUUCUUUCUUUUUUUUUUCUUUUUUUUUUUUUUUUUCUUUUCCUCGACAACUUUUCUAGAGCUUAUAAGAGUAAAUAGUAUCAUAAUAUCAUCCCUUCUUUUUCAUGAACCACUAUGAUAUUCACCACACAAAGAUUCCCAUAUACUACAUCACCCCCUAUCAUCCAGCUAAAGAAUAAAAGCUAAUUAGGCUCAAAGUGGAUAACAAAGGAUAAUUUUUUCUAAGGACAGUGUUUGGGAUAAUAAUGUGGCUAAUAAAAGAUGGCCUAAAAUCAUCUCCUAAUCCUGGGCACAACAGCAACCUCGACACAGAAACCAUGGCAAGUUCUAGAAGAUCACCACAUAUGCAUGACAAAACUCACAACAAAGAAUAAACUGUGUAUGAUAAACAGUUAUGGCUCAAAUCCUCACAGGUUUAUUCAACGUCUAAAAGUCAAGGUCAAAAUCACUCUAGAAUUAUGCAAAUUAGUUCCAAUUAUCUUAAAUCAUCAAAGAAAAUCAAAUUCCAAUUUUUUUUCACAGAAAUCAUCAUUGGCAUCUCACCAGAAAUCUAAUGGAGCAAUAAUCAUCUCAAAAACAAUCACACACCACCAACCAAGCAGGAUAAAACAAUAAAGCUAACAAAAAGAUAAAAGUGAUACACAUAUCUACUCUCACCCCCCUCCCCCAAACUUAUUACAGAACAUAAGUUCGAAAAUAAGUUUGGAGGGAUGAUGAUAUGUGUGUCACUACUCACAGAAAAACAUGCUCCAUGGUGGUAGUAUGAACAAGGCGCGAGUUCCCGCAUCUUCCAAACUCAACACUGCACUAAAACCCCAAACAAACAACAAAACAAAAAGAAACAAAACGAAACUAAACGAAAGGAAAACAAAACAAAGAAAACGGUUGGGUUACCUCCCAACAAGUGCUUAAUUUAACGUCUAGAGCUCGACGAUACCUCAAAAACUCAUGGAGGUCGGAAACAGCACUCUAACCAUUGGAAAGCUUUUCUACUCUUGGGUGCCCUCUCCACCAAAACACUUCUCUUGGCUCGAACAUCCUCCACAAGCAUUGCCCCCUUCUCAUUCUUGUUCCGAAAAAUCCGGAAUUUCACUUUCUUCUUCUUGGGGGUAUGGGUUUUCAAAGACCCCCCAUCAUGCUCCAAAAACAAACACAUCUCAAAAGUCAGAACUUCUUUUGGUUUUGGAGUUUUUUUCUUGGCUUCAUACUUGGGCAGCUCAUUCUUCUCAACCUCUUCAUCCUCCGAAUUUGCUAGAAAACUGUCAGCCAAAUUUAUCACUUCAUUCUGGGGAACUUCCUUUGGUGGAGGUUUCUUGAAAAUCACAGUUUCCCCAUAGGCUCCCAAUGUCAUCGUCCCCCUUUGCAUAUCUAGCUUUGCUCCACAUGUGGCAAGGAAAGGUCUCCCUAACAGCAAAGGCAUCUUUGGAUCCUCCGGAAUAUCCAACACUACAAAGUCGACUGGGAAGAAAAAAUCACUCACCUUCAUAAGCACAUCUUCCGCAACUCCUAGAGGUUUAGAGCAAGACUUAUCAAUAAGCUGAAUUGUCUUGUUGGUUGGCUUCAAAUCCACCAGCUUCAACUUCCUAUAAACUUUGAGAGGCAUGACAUUUAUGCUUGCUCCGGUGUCACACAUCACUUUCUCAAACAAUGACUUUCCAAUCUUCACAGGAAUAUUGAAGCUGCCCGGAUCUUCUCUCUUUGGAGGCAACUGAUACUCCUUCACUGCGAGCACCUCCUCAAAUUCAUUGAAUGCACUCUUCUUUUCCAUCACAGCCUUCACAAUUUGCACCUCAUUUGGAUUGUUUCUCAAGAUCUCCACGGAAGGAAUAUUCACAGCCAACUUCUUAAAUGUCUCCAAAAAUUUGGAGCUUUGCUCAUCUAAUCUUGGCCUCGGGAAUGGAAGAGGGAAAGGUGCUACAGGCUUGUACUCUGGCCUGGGAAACGUAGGAGUAGGAAUAGGCUUCUUAACAGCAGAGGUAUUCGACGAUACCUUAGAAGUAGGCGGCGAAUCGCACACAAUCGUCUCCAGGUCAUCAUCCUCCAUAAUCUCUACAUUUUUUUCCUUGUCGUCCCGCUGCUCUGGAUGAUUCCGCUGCUCUUCAUCAUCAACUGAAUUAUCAACCACCAGGAUGGAAUGACAUUGCUGAUUUUGCUGAGGUUGUUGAUAUUGGCUCUUCGGAUUGAACUGAGUGUUGCUAGGCUGCUGGAUGAUCUCCGCUGCUCUUCAUCCUCAACUGAAUUAUCAACCACCCGGAUGGAAUGACAUUGCUGAUUUUGCUGAGGUUGUUGAUAUUGGCUCUUCGGAUUGAACUGAGUGUUGCUAGGCAAUUGGCCUGGCUUGUUCUGCGCAGCUGCUUGGUUGGCCAUCUGACCAACUUGAGUCUCCAACAUCUGCACUUGCUUGGAGAGUGCUGAAAAAUUAUUCCCAAUAUUUCCCACUUGAGACUCCAAAUUAGUCAUCCUUGAAUUAACAGUUGUCUUCAUGCUAGACAUCUCUGUUAACAUCUGCUGCAUCAUAUCCUCCAUUGAUACCUUCUUCGGCUCAUUUAUAACUCCUCCGCUAGACACAGAAAAUCCAGGUGGAGGCUGCAAAGCAUUGUUCGGAUUGCCGUAAGAAAGGUUAGGAUGCGGGCGUGCUCCUGGCUGGAACUGCUGCUGACCCUGCUGAAAUUGUUGACCUCUGCCAUACAUUCCUGGCUGUCCUCGCUGGAAAUUCCCAUAGUUUCUGCCAUUCACAAAAUUUACAUCUUCCAUGACUGACGGAUCUAUCACAGCUUGCUCAGGACGUCCAACAUUCAAUUCACCAAGUUUUGUAGUCAACUCUGCCAGCUGUGUAGCCAUUGCUGACUGCUGCGUAGCCAUCGCUGCUUGUUGAGUAACCAUUGCUGCCAUAGGAUCAGAACUGGACGCAGCUGCAACCUUCUUCAAUUGUAUUCGCUCAGAUGGCCAUUGGUAGCUUGUAGAAGCCAUACUAUCAAUAAUGUUCCAUGCUUCAGAACUACUUUUCUGAAGUAGAGAGCCACCUGCAGCUGUAUCCAAGUGCAUCCUUGUACGCUCCCCGCAGGCAUUGUAGAACAUUAUCACGAGCGUGCCUUCAUCAAAUCCAUGGCUUGGGCACUUUCUGAGCUUCUCCUGAUACCGCUCCCAAGUCUCCGCUAGCUUUUCUCCAUCGUACUGUUGAAACUGCACGAUGUCCAUCUUCAACUUCAAUGUAAGGCCAGGCGGAUGAAACUUGCGUAGGAAUGCAUGAGCCAAAUCCUCCCACACGAUAUUCUCUCCCAGCUGCAGCGUAUGAUACCACGACUUCGCCUUAUCCCGCAGUGAGAAGGGAAAAAGACGAAGACGGAUAAUGUCAUCAGGGACACCAUUCAUCUUCACCGUGCUACACAGCUCCAGGAAAUGCGCCAGGUGCGCAUUAGGGUCUUCAAUCGCUUGUCCACCAUAUUGGCUCUGUUGGACCAUCGUGAUCAAACCCGUUUUCAGCUCAAAGUUGUUAACGUUCACUCGUGGGGGCUCCUGGUACACAUACUGUGGUAUGAACGCUUCAUUGAUGGCUGGUUGUUUCUGAGCCUCUCUAGACUCCUGUUCAUAGAUAACGGAUUUUUCCGUUAGCUAUAGCAAAAAAACCGUUGUGUAUAGUGGUGUUAUCUAUUCUAUACGUCAUAGACAACGGUUUCAAAACCGUUAUGUAUAGUAGCAUAGAUAACGGUACGAUGUAUCAUACAUAACGGUUCCAAUCCGUUAUCUAUAACGGUUAUACAUAACGGUUUUUCACCGUUAUGUAUUAACAUUUUUCCGUUAUGUAUUAAUUUUUUUUUUUUAAUCAUAGUUAACAGUUUUUUGCACUUUUUAUAACGGUUUUAACCGUUAUCUUUGAUAGAAUACAUAUCGGAAAUAUUAAAGCAAAUUCUUAACAGUCCCCGGCAACGGCGCCAAAAAGUUGAUCACUAUUUUAUUAGCAACAAAAUACCGCAACUAACACGGUGUAAUUGUAGCACAGAAAUAGCAAGCAGAGUAUCGUAUCCACAGAGACUGUAAAACGAAAUCACUCUAUCUAUCUCCUAAACAGACUCUCACAGUAUGCAGGUAAACGAAAUAAAGAAGGUUUGAAUUAACUUAAACUAAAAUAACUAAUAAAAUAAAAGCACGUAGAAAAAAAUCAAAUAUUAAAAACAACUGAUCCUAGGGUAGUAAAUUCAUUAACUAAAUCCAUGUAAUAAACCUAUUAAUCCUAUGUACCAGUUUAAUCCAAUUAUGAUGAGAGAUCACUUAAUUAAUCAAUCACUCUCGCUAGAGCAGCAACGAUCGUAGAUUAGUAAAUUCUCUAUCUCCGUUAGGUCUCAAGAAAAUCUACUAACUCCCAAAAGCUCCUAAGAAUAGCUCUCUAUGAUCCACCUAUCUCCGCUAGGUCUCAAGGUUAAAAUCAUAUCAUACAUUCCUGAAUCCGCUAAACAGUUAUCUCCGCUAGGUCUCAAACCGAAUAGCUACACAUGCAAACUAUUGAUCAGAUAAUUCACAAGAAAUCAAGCACCAGGAAUUAUGAAUCAUAAACUGGAAGGCACAAAGGUAUUAACAAAUAAAUCACAUAAAUUCAAUCAACUAUUUACAAACCCUAGAAUCAGCUAAAGGAAACUAGCCAGACAUAGCAAAAGAAAACAUAAACAUAAUUAAAAAGAAAGCAAUUAGAAGAAUUUAAUUAUAUAAAAACUGAAUAAGAACGAUUGUAGCAGCUUGAAUCUUCAAUCAUGUGGAAAUCCAAUCCAAGCAGUAAAAACUGGAAAGCAAUAAAUUCUAAAGCUAAAAAAACUGAAAAAGUAAAGUUGGGAACUAGAAAAAAAAGGAACCCUGAAUAGGUCAAAAGAAGACCUAUAUAUAGGCACAGGGGAUAAAUACAGUAUAGAGCUCGAAAAUACAGAUAAAAUCCGAAAAUCCCGCAAAAUCCCGAAAAUUCGGAAAUUCCCGUCGGGCACUAUUCACUGCUGCGCGCGACUUUCUUGUUUCGGUCAUAUCUUUCUCGUCCGAACUCCGGAUUUAUGAUCCGUUUGCGCUCACGAACUCGUAUCGAGACGAUCUACAACUUCUAUUUCAGAUAAGUUUUCCAAAUUCGAACUCAAUAAACCUGAAAUUUCCUUCAAAGUUCGAGUAAGAAUCAUGUUUCAAAAGAUAAAGCAAAUUAAGCACAAAACAAUCAUCCAACACUCAAUUUCCUAUAAAAUUAACAUCAUAUGAACACUAAAAACCAUGGAAACAUGAGUGUUAUCAACUCCCCCAAACUUAAGCUAUUGUUCGUCCUCGAAUAAUGAGAAGAACACAAUCAAUAACACGAAUGGGUAAGAAAUCUAGCUCAUCGAUGCCUCCGAAUAAUAAAGAAUGAUAGAAUUCUCAAAUCCUCAAUAAUUAAGCACAAAAUUCACCAAUAAACACAACCUAUAGCAAAAUCAACCUUGACAUUCCAAACAAUUGAAUCUCACAAGGUAUGUGUAUCACUCAACUCUCAAUUUGAUGGAAUAUAUAGGACGUGUAUGCUCUCAUCGAAUUCAAUGCAAUGCAGAUCUCUUACCAUAGGCUUGCCAAUCGUCUACAAUCUCCAUCGCUAAAAGUGUGCCAGGACUAAGAUCAAAAAGGUCUUUUUCUUCGGGUUAUAAUGUAGGGACAUUGGUUAAGGUAGGGAAAUAUAGGCUAAGUGACUCAAAUAGAUCAAGAACACCAACCUUAUGACUUCACUAAUCAAGCAUGGAAUAAAUUCCAUCUUCCACCCAACUAUGCCACCAUAAUCACACAACUCAAGGGAUUUAAUCAUCACAAAACAGAACUAAACACUCUUUUAUGCUCUCUAUUUAUUUCCAACACACAAAGUCGAUUUUCUAACAAAUUUAUCAAUGUACACUCGACUUCACACUUUUUCUCUUCUUCUUUUUUUUCUUCUUUUUUUUUCUUUUCUCUUUUUUUACUCAACAAUUUUUUUUUCUCUUUUCUUUCCACAACUUUUCUAGAGCUCAUAAGAGUAAAUAGUAACACAAAAUCAUCCCUUCUUUUUCACAACCCACUAUGAAUAUUCACCACACAAAGAUUCCCAUAUACUUCAUCACCCCCUAUCAUCCAGCUAAAAAAAUAAAAGCUAAAUAGGCUCAAAGUGGAUAACAAAGGAUAAAUCUUUCAAGGAUAGUGUUUGGGAAAAAUUGUGGCUAACAAAAGAUGGCCUAAAAUCAUCUCAUAAUCCUGGGCACAACAGCAACCUCGACACAGAAACCAUGGCAAGUUCUAGAAGAUCACCA
rnacentral:lncRNA from 1 species